rnacentral:ncRNA from 1 species
CCGGGACCUUCGCAGGCUCCCGGCUACAGGCGGUGUCCGAAUCGCCCAAGCCUGC